rnacentral:pre_miRNA from 1 species
AGAGGAAUAGCUAGGUCAAAUGGUGGUUCCAUUCCCAGUUUUUCAAGGAAUCUCCAUAUUGCUUUCCAAAUUGGCUGCACCAAUUUUCAGUCCCACCAGCAAU